AGUGAACGCUGGCGGUAGGCCUAACACAUGCAAGUCGAACGGCAGCACAGUAAGAGCUUGCUCUUACGGGUGGCGAGUGGCGGACGGGUGAGGAAUACAUCGGAAUCUACUUUUUCGUGGGGGAUAACGUAGGGAAACUUACGUUAAUACCGCAUACGACCUACGGGUGAAAGCAGGGGAUCUUCGGACCUUGCGCGAUUGAAUGAGCCGAUGUCGGAUUAGCUAGUUGGCGGGGUAAAGGCCCACCAAGGCGACGAUCCGUAGCUGGUCUGAGAGGAUGAUCAGCCACACUGGAACUGAGACACGGUCCAGACUCCUACGGGAGGCAGCAGUGGGGAAUAUUGGACAAUGGGCGCAAGCCUGAUCCAGCCAUACCGCGUGAGUGAAGAAGGCCUUCGGGUUGUAAAGCCCUUUUGUUGGGAAAGAAAAGCAGCAGGUUAAUACCCCGCUGUUCUGACGGUACCCAAAGAAUAAGCACCGGCUAACUUCGUG
rnacentral:rRNA from 1 species